CACUUCCAAUUCUAGGACAGCAUCAUGCAAUAAGAAAAGUAUGACAGAGGUACCCAUUCCAUUCCUAGCUUGCUCAGUGGCUGGAGAAUGGAAGACAAAGUGUGAAAAAU
ensembl:snoRNA